GACGAACCGUGCGAACGUUGUUCGGAUUCACUGGGCUUAAAGGGCGCGUAGGCGGGUCAGCAAGUCCGGGGUGAAAGCUUCGGCUCAACCAGGAAAAGGGCCUUGGAUACUGCUGGUCUGGAGGAAGGUAGGGGCGUGUGGAACUUCCGGUGGAGCGGUGAAAUGCGUAGAUAUCGGAAGGAACGCCGGUGGCGAAAGCGACACGCUGGACCUUUUCUGACGCUGAGGCGCGAAAGCCAGGGGAGCAAACGGG
rnacentral:rRNA from 1 species